UGGCGGACGGGUGAGUAACGCGUGGGUAACCUGCCUCAUGCAGGGGGAUAACAGUUAGAAAUGACUGCUAAUACCGCAUAAGACCACAGCACCGCAUGGUGCAGGGGUAAAAACUCCGGUGGUAUGAGAUGGACCCGCGUCUGAUUAGGUAGUUGGUGGGGUAACGGCCUACCAAGCCGACGAUCAGUAGCCGACCUGAGAGGGUGACCGGCCACAUUGGGACUGAGACACGGCCCAA
rnacentral:rRNA from 1 species